UACGGAGGGUGCAAGCGUUAAUCGGAAUUACUGGGCGUAAAGCGCGCGUAGGCGGCUCGAUCAGUCGGGUGUGAAAUCCCUGGGCUCAACCUGGGAACUGCAUUCGAUACUGUCGAGCUAGAGUGUGGGAGAGGGUAGUGGAAUUCCCGGUGUAGCGGUGAAAUGCGUAGAUAUCGGGAGGAACAUCAGUGGCGAAGGCGACUGCCUGGCCCAACACUGACGCUGAGGUGCGAAAGCGUGGGUAGCAAACAGGG
rnacentral:rRNA from 1 species